UCAAGAGGUCAUAGAUGUGCGUUUGGAUAAACGUUCGACGUAAUCUCUGUGUGACGUCAUAAAGGGUCGACGCGCGUUUAGUUGAUUACAAACAAGCUGUUGGGUUUGAAAAAUAACGCAUUUCGCACGUUAAAAGUAACAAUCAGGCAAAUUUAAAGUAUGAAUAAGUCACAAAUGUAAAUAUAAGUAAUAAGGGCUUUAUGGAAGAUUUGAUCAUGUGUCAACCCGUUUUACAUCUCAAUAAAACUCAAAAAUGAUACCUUAUUACUUAUAUUUACAUUCGUGACUUAUUCAUACUUUAUAUUUGCCUGAUUGUUACUUUUAACGUGUGAAAUGCGUUAAUUUUUCAAACCCAACGGCAUGUAUGUAAUCUACUAAACGCGCGUCGACCCUUUAUGACGUCACAGAGAAAUUACGUGGAACGUUUAUCCAAACGCACAUCUAUGACCUCUUGACCCCAAACCUGUAUUUACACAGUUAUAAAAACGCUUGCCUUCAGUAGUGUUAUGUAAAGGAAAACAUUUGCAAAUGUAAAUAUUUGUUU